rnacentral:sRNA from 1 species
GAUAGUGUGGACCGAUCAAGUAUCUUCUAUACUCGCAGCUGUUUCUUUUACUGAUGUAGCUAACUUAUUGAAGAAGUACCACCUUCCCAGCAAGAAAAGAACCUUCUCCUUUGGUCAAGGAUAUAUGACUAUGCAUGUGCCUCUUCUACAGUCUCCAAAUAAGCCCUCAGGUUUCAUCUGUAGGGAGAAAGAACCAGUCAAGGAAGAACACAAUUUGUUAAUAUAUUGUGGACACAACACUAACUUGCAGUGGCACAGU